CCGGGCGGUGGGCGGCCAACAGCAGGGCGGCGGUGGCGCCCAGCGAGUGGCCGAUGAGCGUGACCGGUCCGAGGCCGAGCGCCUGGAC
rnacentral:tRNA from 1 species